GAUGAAGAACGUAGCGAAAUGCGAUAAGUAAUGUGAAUUGCAGAAUUCAGUGAAUCAUCGAAUCUUUGAACGCACAUUGCGCCCGCCAGCAUUCUGGCGGGCAUGCCUGUUCGAGCGUCAUUUCAACCCUCAAGCUCUGCUUGGUGUUGGGGCCCUACGGUUAACGUAGGCCCUUAAAGGUAGUGGCGGACCCUCUCGGAGCCUCCUUUGCGUAGUAACUAACGUCUCGCACUGGGAUUCGGAGGGAUUCUAGCCGUAAAACCCCCAAUUUUUUAAGGUUGACCUCGGAUCAGGUAGGAAUACCCGCUGAACUUAAGCAUAUCAAUAAGCGGAGGA
rnacentral:misc_RNA from 1 species